rnacentral:pre_miRNA from 1 species
CUUGUACUCCCUCCGUCCGAAAAUACUUGUCAUUGAAAUGGAUGUAUGUAGAUGUAUUUUAGUUCUAGACACAUCCAUUUUGAUGACAAGUAAUUCCGGAUGGAGGGAGUACUUG